rnacentral:rRNA from 1 species
CGUGCCUAACGCAUGCAAGUCGCACGGAGCGAAAGCUCAGUGGCGGACGGGUGAGUAACACGUAGGAACCUGCCCAGAAGUGGGGGAUAACUCCUCGAAAGAGGAGCUAAUACCGCAUACGGUCCACGGACCAAAGCAGCAAUGCGCUUCUGGAGGGGCCUGCGGCGGAUUAGCUAGUUGGUGGGGUAACGGCCUACCAAGGCAACGAUCCGUAUCUGGUCUGAGAGGACGGCCAGACACACUGGGACUGAGAUACGGCCCAGACUCC